UACGGGGGGGGCAAGCGUUGUUCGGAAUUACUGGGCGUAAAGAGCUCGUAGGCGGCUUGUUGCGUCGACUGUGAAAACCCGCGGCUUAACUGCGGGCUUGCAGUUGAUACGGGCAGGCUAGAGUUCGGUAGGGGAGACUGGAAUUCCUGGUGUAGCGGUGAAAUGCGCAGAUAUCAGGAGGAACACCGGUGGCGAAGGCGGGUCUCUGGGCCGAUACUGACGCUGAGGAGCGAAAGCGUGGGGAGCGAACAGG
rnacentral:rRNA from 1 species